CAAUAGCGUAUAUUAAAGUUGUUGCAGUUAAAAAGCUCGUAGUUGGAUUUGUGGCGUACGGUGUGUUCCGGGCACUUGUUGUCUGAGUAACCUGCUGUUGCCAUCCUUGGGUGGAACCUGUGUGGCAUUAGGUUGUCGUGCAGGGGAUGCCCAUCAUUUACUGUGAAAAAAUUAGAGUGUUCAAAGCAGGCUUAUGCCGUUGAAUAUAUUAGCAUGGAAUAAUGAGAUAGGACUUUUUUGCUAUUUUGUUGGUUUGCGCAAGAAGGUAAUGAUUAAUAGGGACAGUUGGGGGUAUUCGUAUUCCAUUGUCAGAGGUGAAAUUCUUGGAUUUUUGGAAGACGAACUACUGCGAAAGCAUUUACCAAGGAUGUUUUCAUUAAC
rnacentral:rRNA from 1 species